UAUGUGAUCGUCUCUCGCAUAUCAAUAAGCGGAGGAAAAGAAACUAACAAGGAUUCCCCUAGUAACGGCGAGUGAAGCGGGAAGAGCUCAAAUUUGAAAUCUUAAAGGGUUUCCCUUUACGAAUUGUAGUUUAAAGAAGUGUUUUCUGUUGAGGUUUUGGUAAAAGUUCUUUGGAAUAGGACAUCACAGAGGGUGAGAAUCCCGUAUUUGACCUUUACUUUCAACUUUGUGAUACACUCUCAAAGAGUCGGAUUGUUUGGGAAUGCAGUCCAAAAUGGGUGGUAAAUUUCAUCUAAAGCUAAAUAUUGGCGAGAGACCGAUAGCGAACAAGUACCGUGAGGGAAAGAUGAAAAGAACUUUGAAAAGAGAGUUAAACAGUACGUGAAAUUGUCAAAAGGGAAGCGUUUGACACCAGUGUUGUUUUUCUGAAAAUCAAUUAAAGAACUGUUUAUGCUAAGCUGUUUAGACUUUAUCAGCUAAUCUGUUUAGUUUUGAGCUUUUCUUUAAUGCACUUUUCAGUUAACAAGUCAACAUCAAUUUCUUUUGCUGUAAAAAAGCUUGAGGAAGGUGGCUUGAGAUUCGUCUUAAGUGUCUAUAGCCUCUUGCCUAUGCAGUCGGAGAGAUUGAGGUCUGCAGCGUAGAUCCUUCGGGGCUAAAUGCAUUUGUGCUAAGUUAUAGCAUUUUAUAGACAACUUGUUGACUAUGAUUUGUCUUGUAGCUUACUCGCUUAUGUUAUUUUACCUACGCUUAGGAUGUUGAACGCGCACAGAGUCUC
rnacentral:rRNA from 1 species